CCUAUUAGUGGGGGAUAACGAAUCGAAAGGUUCGCUAAUACCGCAUACGUCCUACGGGAGAAAGGGGGGGAGUCUUCGGACCUCUCGCUAAUAGAUGAGCCUAGGCCGGAUUAGCUAGUUGGUAGGGUAAAGGCCUACCAAGGCGACGAUCUGUAGCUGGUCUGAGAGGAUGGCCAGCCACACUGGAACUGAGACACGGUCCAGACUCCUACGGGAGGCAGCAGUGGGGAAUAUUGGACAAUGGGGGCAACCCUGAUCCAGCCAUGCCGCGUGUGUGAAGAAGGCCUUCGGGUUGUAAAGCACUUUAAGCGAGGAGGAAGGUUUUUAGUUUAAUACACUAAAGAAUUGACGUUACUCGCAGAAUAAGCACCGGCUAACUCUGUGCCAGCAGCCGCGGUAAUACAGAGGGUGCAAGCGUUAAUCGGAAUUACUGGGC
rnacentral:rRNA from 1 species